rnacentral:rRNA from 1 species
ACUGCUCAGUAACACGUAGCUAACCUACCCUUAGGACGUGGAUACCCCCGAGAAAUUGGGGUUAAUCCGCGAUAGAUGUAAUGUCCUGGAAUGGUAUUACGUCUAAAGGUAUUUCAUACAUGUUUGAAAUAUGCCUAAGGAUGGGGCUGCGGCCGAUCAGGCUGUUGGUGAGGUAAUGGCUCACCAAACCUUUGACCGGUACGGGCCAUGAGAGUGGUAGCCCGGAGAUGGACACUGAGACAAGGGUCCAGGCCCUAAGGGGCGCAGCAACCGCGAAACCUCCACAAUGCACUAACGUGCGAUGGGGCUAUCUCGAGUGCCACCUGAUGAAGGUGGCUUUUCCUUGGUCUUCAAAGCCUUGGGAAUAAGAGGGGGGCAAGACUGGUGUCAGCCGCCGCGGUAACACCAGCCCCUCGAGUGGUGGGGAUGAUUAUUUGGCCUAAAGCGUCCGUAGCCGGCCGUGAAAGUCUUCCGUUAAAUCCAGCGUCUCAAGCGUUGGACCGCGGGAGAUACUACACGGCUAGAGAGUGGGAGAGGUCAGCGGUAUUCUGGGGGUAGGGGCGAAAUCCUUUGAUCCCCGGAGGACCACCAGUGGCGAAGGCUGCUGACUAGAACACGUCUGACGGUCAGGGACGAAAGCUGGGGUAGCGAACCGGAUUAGAUACCCGGGUAGUCCCAGCCGUAAACGAUGCAUGCUAGGUGUUGGGUUGGCCACGAGCCACCCCAGUGCCGCAGGGAAGCCGUUAAGCAUGCCGCCUGGGAAGUACGAUCGCAAGAUUGAAACUUAAAGGAAUUGGCGGGGGAGCACCACCAGGCGUGAAGCCUGCGGUUUAAUUGGAUUCAACGCCGGA